GACUUCGAGCCUCUGCUAGCAAGGGGCCAUCCACCCACCCUCACCUCUGAGAGCAGCGGGGCCAGGUGCUCCAGUGGCACCGCGGGUAGGUCCCCGCAGAGCACCGUGCCGCGGAGGCUGUGAUUUCCCGGAGGCUCGGACUUAGUGCGCAAGAAAAAGAGCCCCUUGGCGCGAGCUCGGCUGGGCUCUGGUCCUGCGUCUAGACCGGGUGUCACCACCAGGCCCCCGGGCCCGGACUGAACCACCAGCAGUGGCCGCGGAUCCGAGGCAGCGUUGUGAUCCAGGAAGGCCUGCAGCAGCCUCCCCGCCUCGGCUGUGCCUGCACAGCGCUCCCAGGUGCCCGCGGCCGGACGCAGGCUCCGAGCCACAAAAGUCCCCAGAAGCCGCAGCCUCGGGUCUCCAGGCUCCUCGUCCCCAGACUCCGCCAGCGCUGCCUGCUCCUUGGCGCCGGGCAUCGCGUGUUGCCAGCUGCAGCGUCUGUUUCCCUAGCGACGGGGAUGCCAGGCCCUCCUGCCUCUGCUCUCCUUAUAUUGGGCACUGGACUCUAGCUCCGCCCCACUAAGUUAAUAAGGUGUAUUAGUUGGCUUUGUAUGUCAACUUGACACAAGAUGGAGUUAUCACAGAGAAAGGAUGCUCCUUUGAGGAAAUGCCUCCAUGAGAUCCAGCUGUAAGUCAUUUUCUCAAUUAAUGAUUGAGGCGGGAGAGGACCCAGUCGAUUGUGGUUGUACCAUCCUUGGGCUGGUAGUCCUGGGUUUGAUUAGAAAGCAAGCUGAGCAAACCAGAGGAAGCAAUCCAGUAAGCAGCACCCCUUCAUGGUGUCUGCAUCAGCUCCUGCCUCUAACUUCCUACUCUGUGUGAGUUUCUGUCCUGACUUCCUUUGGUGAACAGCAAUGUGGAAGUCUAAGCUGAAUAAACCCUUUCCUCUUC
rnacentral:lncRNA from 1 species